ensembl:misc_RNA
UGGAGCUUUAAACAGCUCUGAGUAAGCUAACAAAAUAAGAUAAUAAGAUUCUGGUGCUGAAAAGCUGAGUAUGCGACCCUGAUCAUCA